rnacentral:tRNA from 2 species
CAAGGUAUAGCUUAAUAUAAAGCAUCCGGCCUACACCCGGAGGAUCUCAAUACCAUUUGACUACCUUGA